rnacentral:rRNA from 1 species
GACGAACGCUGGCGGCGUGCCUAACACAUGCAAGUCGAACGGACGGACGCGGCGCUUGCUUCUCUCUUGUUAGCGGAACGGGUGAGUGUCACACGUGUAAACCCUCCCUAUCUGAGUGGUAUCAUUACGGAACUCGGUAUCUAAUCCCGGAUAAUCUUUUGAACCGCAGGGUGCAAAGGAGAAAGUCGGCCUUGCUGUCACUUAUCGAUGCAUCUCCGCUGCAUUGGCUAGUUGGUACGGUAACGGCUUACCAAGGCUACGAUGCAUAGCCGACCUGAGAGGCGGAUCGCCCACAUUGGAAGUGGGACACGGUCCUGACUCCUGCGAGAGGCAGCAGUAGGGAAUCUUACGCAGUGGGCGAAAGCCUGACGGAGCGACGCCGCGUGAGUGAUGGAGGUCUUCGGAUCGUAAAACUCUGUUAUGAGGGAAGAACAUAUGUGUAAGGAACUGUGUACAGCGUGACGGUACCUAAUCAGAAAGCCACGGCUAACUACGUG